GACGAACGCUGGCGGCGUGCUUAACACAUGCAAGUCGAACGAAGUGGCGAACGGGUGAGUAACGCGUAAUCAACCUGCCCUUCAGAGGGGGACAACAGUUGGAAACGACUGCUAAUACCCCAUACUGAAGGGGGGGAUUGCGUCGGAUUGGCUAGUUGGGGGGGUAACGGCCCACCAAGGCGAAGAGCACUAGCCGGGCUGGGAGGAUUAACGGCCCACAUGGGACUGAGACACCGCCCAGACUCCUAAGGGAGGCAGCAGGGGGGAAUCUUCCGCAAUGGACGAAAGUCCGACGGAGGAACGCCGGGUGGGUGAUGACGGCCUUCGGGUUGUAAAGCUCUGUUAAGCGGGACGCGGUACCGGAAGAGAAAGCAACGGCUAACUACGUGCCAGCAGCCGCGGUAAUAC
rnacentral:rRNA from 1 species